CCUACGGGAGGCAGCAGUGGGGAAUUUUGGACAAUGGGCGCAAGCCUGAUCCAGCAAUGCCGCGUGCAGGAUGAAGGCCUUCGGGUUGUAAACUGCUUUUGUACGGAACGAAACGGUCUGCCCUAAUACGGUGGGCUAAUGACGGUACCGUAAGAAUAAGCACCGGCUAACUACGUGCCAGCAGCCGCGGUAAUACGUAGGGUGCGAGCGUUAAUCGGAAUUACUGGGCGUAAAGCGUGCGCAGGCGGUUAUAUAAGACAGAUGUGAAAUCCCCGGGCUCAACCUGGGACCUGCAUUUGUGACUGUAUAGCUAGAGUACGGUAGAGGGGGAUGGAAUUCCGCGUGUAGCAGUGAAAUGCGUAGAUAUGCGGAGGAACACCGAUGGCGAAGGCAAUCCCCUGGACCUGUACUGACGCUCAUGCACGAAAGCGUGGGGAGCAAACAGGAUUAGAUACCCUGGUAGUCCACGCCCUAAACGAUGUCAACUGGUUGUUGGGUCUUCACUGACUCAGUAACGAAGCUAACGCGUGAGUAGACGCCGNGGGAGGACGGCCGCGAGGUUAGUAACGUACGAAAGGAAGUUAGACGGCGUGAGACGUAGACCGAACGGACGACGACGAGGGAGGAGG
rnacentral:rRNA from 1 species